rnacentral:rRNA from 1 species
UACGUAGGGGGCAAGCGUUGUCCGGAAUCAUUGGGCGUAAAGCGCGUGUAGGCGGCUCAGUAAGUCCGCUCUGAAAGCCCGGGGCUUAACCCCGGGAGGCGGGUGGAUACUGCUGAGCUUGAGUCCGGAAGAGGCGAGUGGAAUUCCCGGUGUAGCGGUGAAAUGCGCAGAUAUCGGGAGGAACACCAAUGGCGAAGGCAGCUCGCUGGGACGUGACUGACGCUGAGACGCGAAAAGCGUGGGGAGCAAACAGGG